rnacentral:tRNA from 1 species
GCGCUCAUAGCUCAAUUGGAUAGAGCAUCAGUCUACGGAACUGGAGGUUAGAGGUUCAAGUCCUCUUGAGCGCGCCA